GGAUCCGGUUCUGUCCACUGAUCUGGAAAGGAAGUUGUGGUGUUCCCAGACCUAGGCCAUAAGUGAGACCCCAGGCUCCAGUGUCUGACUUACAAAACUCAACAAGGGGAGGGGUGACCAGGGUUGGGGGAUGCCAAGUUAGGGUGGAGCCAAACCCUCUUUGGGAGGGCACAAGGACUGGCAGUCGGAUGGGGAGAGGGGUUGGAGCUUAUCUUCAGGCACACCUGUUCAAGGAACUCAUGCUUUUUAUGUUGGGAUGAAUUUAUUUGGGUACCUCUGGGGGGAACUGAGGGAGACUCAGUUACUCAGUAAUUGUUCAGCCCUGUUCAGUUGAGUUUAGUGUUACAGGGCUGGGAGGGGGCAGCCUUCUGUCCCCAGUGAAUUCCCUGCUGGUGGAAUCCUGGAGGGCUUAUGAGGGGUGCCCGCCCCCAGCUCUGGUCAUGUUCUGAGGCAGGGAAUAAUACUGAAUGGUUAGCACCUGCCAGGCACAGCACUGAGCAUUUUAUAUUCAUUUUUUCCCUCACAGUCAUCUGAACCUUCCCCUGGCUAGAGCAGGCAGCGGCUCACCUUGGAACACAGCUCAUAUAAUAAUCCUGGCUUGGAGGCUCAAUUUCUCUAAGCCUCAGUUUUCUCUCUUGUGAAAUGGGGUCUACUCAUUCACCACACACUGGGAACACACUCCAUGCUGAGCUCUCCCCUACAGCCAGAAGCAAUCCUGCCUUCGUGGAGCCUCUGUACCAGGGGAGAUGGACAUGUGACCAAUCACUUCGCACCUAACAGUGGUUACCACAGAGAAAUGUCAACUCAGUCACAUUGAAGUGAACAAGAAGAA
ensembl:lncRNA